rnacentral:rRNA from 1 species
UACGUAGGGGGCAAGCGUUGUCCGGAUUUAUUGGGCGUAAAGAGCGUGUAGGCGGCCAGGUAGGUCAGCUGUGAAAACUCGAGGCUCAACCUCGAGACGUCGGUUGAAACCACCUGGCUAGAGUCCGGAAGAGGAGACUGGAAUUCCUGGUGUAGCGGUGGAAUGCGCAGAUAUCAGGAGGAACACCGGUGGCGAAGGCGGCAUUCUGGACCGAUAUUGACGCUGAGGAGCGAAAGCCAGGGGAGCGAACGGG